UGGUGGCGAUGGCGGAGGGGUUCCACGCGUACCCAUCCCGAACACGACCGUUAAGCCCUCCAGCGCCGAUGGUACUUGGAUCGCAGGGUCCCGGGAGAGUAGGACGUCGCCAAGCA
rnacentral:rRNA from 1 species